rnacentral:rRNA from 1 species
AGUGAACGCUGGCGGUAGGCCUAACACAUGCAAGUCGAACGGCAGCACAGUAAGAGCUUGCUCUUACGGGUGGCGAGUGGCGGACGGGUGAGGAAUACAUCGGAAUCUACUUUUUCGUGGGGGAUAACGUAGGGAAACUUACGCUAAUACCGCAUACGGCCUACGGGUGAAAGCAGGGGAUCUUCGGACCUUGCGCGAUUGAAUGAGCCGAUGUCGGAUUAGCUAGUUGGCGGGGUAAAGGCCCACCAAGGCGACGAUCCGUAGCUGGUCUGAGAGGAUGAUCAGCCACACUGGAACUGAGACACGGUCCAGACUCCUAGGGGAGGCAACAGUGGGGAAUAUUGGACAAUGGGCGCAAGCCUGAUCCAGCCAUACCGCGUGGGUGAAGAAGGCCUUCGGGUUGUAAAGCCCUUUUGUUGGGAAAGAAAAGCAGCAGGUUAAUACCCCGCUGUUCUGACGGUACCCAAAGAAUAAGCACCGGCUAACUUCGUG